rnacentral:rRNA from 1 species
AGAGUUUGAUCAUGGCUCAGGACGAACGCUGGCGGCGUGCUUAACACAUGCAAGUCGAGCGGGGUUUAUCGGAUUAGCUUGCUAAACUGAUAAACCUAGCGGCGGACGGGUGAGUAACGCGUGAGCAAUCUGCCUCAUACAGGGGGAUAACAGGUGGAAACACCUGCUAAUACCGCAUAAGACUCCACUACCGCAUGGUAGAGAAGUCAAAGGGAUUACCGGUAUGAGAUGAGCUCGCGUCCCAUUAGCUAGUUGGUAGGGUAAAGGCUUACCAAGGCGACGAUGGGUAGCCGACCUGAGAGGGUGAUCGGCCACACUGGGACUGAGACACGGCCCAGACUCCUACGGGAGGCAGCAGUGGGGAAUAUUGCACAAUGGAGGGAACUCUGAUGCAGCAACGCCGCGUGAGUGAAGAAGGUUUUCGGAUCGUAAAACUCUGCCAUUGGGGAAGAAUAAACGACGGUACCCAAUGAGGAAGCCCCGGCUAACUACGUGCCAGCAGCCGCGGUAAUACGUAGGGGGCGAGCGUUGUCCGGAAUUACUGGGCGUAAAGGGUACGUAGGCGGCUAUAUAAGUCAGGUGUGAAAUACCAGUGCUUAGCACUGGAAUUGCAUUUGAAACUGUGUAGCUUGAGUGCAGGAGAGGAAAGUGGAAUUCCUAGUGUAGCGGUGAAAUGCGUAGAGAUUAGGAGGAACACCAGUGGCGAAGGCGACUUUCUGGACUGUAACUGACGCUGAGGUACGAAAGCGUGGGUAGCGAACAGGAUUAGAUACCCUGGUAGUCCACGCCGUAAACGAUGGAUACUAGGUGUAGGGGGUAUCGACCCCCCCUGUGCCGGAGUUAACGCAAUAAGUAUCCCGCCUGGGGAGUACGGUCGCAAGACUGAAACUCAAAGGAAUUGACGG